UACGUAGGGGGCAAGCGUUGUCCGGAUUUAUUGGGCGUAAAGCGCGUGUAGGUGGCCAAGUAGGUCCGCUGUGAAAACUUGAGGCUCAACCUCAAGCUGUCGGUGGAAACCCCUUGGCUAGAGUCCGGAAGAGGAGAGUGGAAUUCCUGGUGUAGCGGUGAAAUGCGCAGAUAUCAGGAAGAACACCAAUGGCUAAGGCAGCUCUCUGGGACGGUACUGACACUGAGACGCGAAAGCGUGGGGAGCGAACAGG
rnacentral:rRNA from 1 species